GUUUUAGGGAAUCGGGUUGCAACAGUUACCAUGGAAAAACUGUUCAAUGCCAUUUUGUGGAGCACUAUCAAGUACCCUAAGAAUUAGAUAAAUGGACUAAGAGAAUGAAAGGAAUCACAUUACUGUGAAAAAGAGUCAUCUCACACCAGUGAUCUGUGCACAUGAUCCGAGUUCGACGGCAUUCUACAUUCUACUACACGCCAGGAACCAGUGGCAGUUCUGAGUCCAUUUGCCAGCCCAACAUCCGUGUUCAGCAACAGGCUCUGAAACGCCAUAUCCUGGUGGCAGUUCUGCAUCCAUCUGCCGGACCAGGUAAUUCAGGGGCUGUUUCUGCUGCCAUUUGUCCUCUGACACCAGUGAUCUGUGCGCAUGAUCUGACAUUGAUGACCAAAUAGUGAAACGCACAAAGAGGACAGAGUGUUUCCCAAGUAUGCGGUCCACCACCACAUUCGCUGAAUCACCUGUGGCUUUCAGACUUACAACUUUGGGAGUUUCUUUCCUCCACUGUUCACACCCCUGUGUCAUAUCAACGGUUCGGGCAUUUUUUUUCCACAAUUGUCGAUGAGUUAAAGCUGACUCCGUCUUCUGAGAUGUUGGGUAUUGCGCUUCCUUCAGCCACCCCCAUUGGAAAUAUAUCUUAUGUUUAAGGAAAUCUAGCUGCUACUGUUACUGUGGAAAAACUUUUCAAUGCCAUUUUGUGGAGCAAUAUCAAAUACCCUAAGAAGUACAUCGAUGGACUAAGAGAACGAAAGGAAUCACAUUAGUGUAAAAAAGUGAGCCGAAUGUGAACCAUGAAAAAAUUUCCAAAGACUCACUCCAAAUAAAUAGUAUUCAGCAUCUCAAUGUUUCAAGAUUCCUCUCUUCCUUGUCUUGUACUUCUCUGGAAAAACCAACCCUCAUCUGACCAUGCAACCCUCUGUCACCAGGACAUAAGAAAUAUUUUAUUUUAUAAAUUUAACCUCAUCUCCUACACUGCUGACAUCCCAAG
rnacentral:lncRNA from 1 species